UCUCGUGAAGUCGAGCAAGGUUUGAAUCCCGCUAGCAGCGUCCAGCCAGGCGAGGGCGAAAUUCCGGGGCGCACAGGAGCGAGACCCUACAGAUGAGACUGAGGCCCAGAGGUGUGGACAGGGCUCCCAUCUAUGUGACUGGAAGGCAGCUGCAGUUGUGUGAGCUUCAUCUGGGGAAGGUAACCCAGCCUAGAGCCUCUUCUGCCUCCUCCUGGAAGUUUCCAGUAACCGCCGGCCCCAGGAGAUCUGCCUUCAGCCUGCCCUGCCUUGCUGCUGGCACUUGUCUCCCGGAGUCAGGUGCCGGAAAUGGCCAUGAUUGAGUCCCCGUCUAUGGCACACAUCCCAUGCACACCCCUGUCCAGCUGUGUGGAGGUCUGUCCCUGUGCAUUCUGGGUACAUACAGGGAUGGCAGGUGCUGACACGAGGCGGGGGUGAGGGCUCUGAGAUCAUUUCAGGGGGCUCCACUAUGCCAGCCCUUUGCCCCCGCGUCUGGGGACUGGCGGGAAAUCGGGUUCUCCAAAUUCCCGUUUCUGCUUCCAUCUCCCUCCAGGGGAGCAAGCACAGCUGGAGGAGGGUCAGAGACCUUUCCUCCAGCCCCUGUGGCCCCCCAGCUCAUGGCCCCCAGACUGAGCUGUAUUGCCCACCCCCGCAACCCCACUCUGGCCGCCUCCCCGCCUGAGUUCUCCCCUGGACACAUCUGCUCCUGCAGGCUCCAGCUCUGGCUCACAUCCUGGGCUGGCCUGCCUCCCUUUCUCCUUCUACAAUGGGCAGUUCUUUGGUGCCUUUAUCCUUAGCACCUCUCUGUACUGCGCACUCUCACUCACUCUCAGAGAAAGGCAGAGAGAGAGAGAGAGAGAGAGGGAGAGAGAGAGCGAGCUUCCAUUCUCAGGUUCACUCCCCAAAUGACCACAAUGACCAGGGUUGUUCCAGGCCAAAGCCAGGAGUUAAGAACUUCAUCCGGGUCUCCCACAUGGGUGCAUGGUUCCGAGCACUUGGGCCAUCUUCUGCUGCCUUUGCAGAUGCAGUAGCAGGAAGCUGGAUCAGAAGCAGAGCAGCCGGGACUUGAGCCUGAUCUGGGAUGUUGGGGUCGCAAACGGCACAGUUUAACUCACUGCACCGCCACACCAGCCCCUCUGUACACUGCCCGUGGGCCAAGAAGUCAUGAUUUCCUCCCUGCCCUCCGUAGACCGCGAGCUCCAGGCGGGCCGUAUCCACACCACAGUCCUGUCUCCCAGCUCGUGAGUUUUGGCUGCAUGAGCAGGAGCCACCAGCAGCAUUCCUGUCCGACCCCAGCAUGUCCCGAGCCUUGGCCAGGCACAGGCUGGGCCAGAGGGCAGAGGCAGAGGGAGGCGAGGCGGGCUGUCUCCGUGAAGGGGUCUGCACAUGUGCCUGGCUCCUGGGCAGACAGCUGCUUGGCUGACCAAGCUGUGGUCUUGGGGGGUGGCCAGGAGGCGGGGGGUAGCAGGCUUCUCAGGACGGGGAGCCCAUGGCUGGGCAGGGCUGCUCAGCUCUGGGUGCCCCAGUCUGUGGACCACGGUGCUGGCUGCUUUCGUACACCUGCCAGAAAGCUGUGGGCUUCCCUCAGCCUUGCUGGCCCUGGUUUCUCCAGCUGAAGAAUGGAGCAAAUAAUAGUGCCUGCUUAGAAGCCAAGCAGCCAGCCCAGAGCAGGUUCCAUGCAGUCUGUCACUUCCGGGGCACUUGAUGACAAUGACGACGCUGAUGGAAACGCGUGGGGUGAGACAAGGCACCGGGUCUCACUUGCUGGUCCUGGGCAUCAUCCAGGCUUUUCCAUGUUGAAGACUUUUUAACUUUUUAAUACACUGUCAGAGAGGGAGAGGGAGAUGGAGAUCUUCCCUAUGUGGGUUCGCCCCUUCCAAAUGGCCACAAUGCCAGUGGAAGAGACGUUUAAGGGGUGCCUUCCAAACAGCGAGGACUCCCUGAGAGCGGCCGUCCCCUGCACGCUGGGGCUGAGGCUUGGAGCGUGGUGAUGGCAAGGGAGGGAGAGGUCGUUUCAGGUCAGAGCAGGCACAGCGAAAUGUCCAUGUGUUCUAGGGACCCCCAGGGGCCAGGGCUGCUAGCAGGUGCCCGGGGUGAGCCGUGGAGGCCUUGCUGAGCCAUGCAGAGGAGACCAGCAGGAAACAGAGCAAAGAAGCAGACCCUGGUGUGUAUGGGGGGGUGCCCAGGACCAGAGUGAUGGGGCCACAGAUGGAAGUAAUAAAUGUGAAAUGAAAUACGUUCUUCCCACACUCCCGGACGGACAUCACUUCUUAACAGUAAAAUCCAAAAUGUACGUAGAUGGUUGUUACAUGGCUGAACACCGAUGUGACUAAAAUACUCUCAUUGAACUAUUAAAAGGCAGAUGGGAAGGCAGUGGAUUGUGGCCCAAGUGCUUGGGCCCCUGCCAGAGAUGGAGCUCCUGGCUCCUGGUUUCUGCCUACCACAGCCCUGGCCAUUGUAGCCAUUUAGGGAAUGAACCCACAUACGAAAGUGUGCUCCCUCUUUCUCUCUGCCUUUCAAAUAAAUAAAAAUAAAUCUUAAAAAAUUAGAAGAAUGCAUAUUACAAUUAAUUAAAUUUUUUAAUUCUAAUUUAAUGUUUGUAAAUGUAAUUAUUGUUAUAUAGUGCUUCACAAUUCCAACACUCAGUAUCUACCACACUGUCAAUAAAAGAUUCAUUACCAAAUUUCAGAUGUUCUACUUAGACCCAUCUUUAUAUAAAAUUCUUACAAGAUUUACUUAUUUGAAAGGCAAGGUGACAGAGAUUUUUCCAUCCUCCAGGAACUCCAUCUGGGUCUCCCACAU